rnacentral:rRNA from 1 species
UGGGGAAUCUUCCGCAAUGGACGGAAGUCUGACCCAGCCAUGCCGCGUGUGCGAAGAAGGUUUUCGGAUCGUAAAGCUCUUUUGUAGGAGAGGAAGGAGUGGAGGAGUGUAACCUUCACACUGUGACGGUCUCUUACAAGAAACGGACGGCUAAUUACUGGCCACCACCCGCGGUAUUACGUAGGUGCCGACCGUUGUCCGAAUUUAUGGGGCGUAAACCGAGCCCAGGCGGCUGUAUAAUUCUAAGUUUAAUCGCUGGGGUUUACCCGUAGUAUGCUUUGGAAACUGUUUAGCUUGAGUGCUGUAGAGGAGAGUGGAAUUCCAUGUGUAGCGGUGAAAUGCGUAGAUAUCUGGAGGAACACCGGUGGCGAAGGCGGCUCUCUGGAUUGUAACUGACGCUCAGGCUCGAAAGCGUGGGGAGCAAACAGGAUUAGAUACCCUGGUAGUCCACGCUGUAAACGAUGAGUGCUANGUGUUGUACCCUUUCCGGGGUUUANUGCCGUAUCUNACGCAUUAUCCACUCCNCCNGGGAGAGUACGACCGCNGGUUG